rnacentral:rRNA from 1 species
UACAGAGGUCUCAAGCGUUGUUCGGAUAUACUGGGCGUAAAGCGCACGUAGGCGGCGUCGUAAGUCAGGGGUGAAAUCCCGGAGCUCAACUCCGGAACUGCCCUUGAAACUGCAAUGCUAGAAUCUUGGAGAGGCGAGUGGAAUUCCGAGUGUAGAGGUGAAAUUCGUAGAUAUUGGGAAGAACACCGAUGGCGAAGGCAGCCAUCUGGACCGACACUGACGCUGAGGCGCGAAAGCGUGGGGAGCAAACAGG